rnacentral:rRNA from 1 species
UACGGGGGGAGCAAGCGUUGUUCGGAUUUACUGGGCGUAAAGGGUGCGUAGGUGGUCCGUUAAGUCAGUUGUGAAAUCCCCGGGCUCAACCCGGGAAAUGCUUCUGAUACUGGCGGACUUGAGGCCAGUAGGGGUCACUAGAACUGACGGUGGAGCGGUGAAAUGCGUAGAUAUCGUCAGGAAUGCCGGUGGUGAAGACGGGUGACUGGGCUGGUUCUGACACUGAGGCACGAAAGCGUGGGGAGCGAACGGGG